CAGGCAUCCACCUCAGGUAAACAAUAAACACAGCGUCGUCUUGUGACACCAAUCCCUUCCAUGGACAGCUCAGGUGAUUUCAUCAACCUUUAUAUUCAGCCUCCAGCAGGGAGCUCAAACUCAAUAGCUACAUGUUCAUUAUUCUGACUGACACAUAUAACCAAAGCUGCACCUUCCACACUGGUGUCCUCCAUUGUCUUCAACACAAUGCCAGUUGGAACAUUUACCAGAAACACUGCAGUGAAAGGUAAUCUAGCAUUGAAAGAUGUGUUUACUUUUAACAGCUUUUUUUGGCCUCAUACUGGGACCAGUCUGACCACUACGUCAUCAUUGAAUCUCUAAACCUCACUAGCAGAAUAGAUCCCUCUGGCACACCGUUACUACCCGCUCUGUGUCGAAGCGUAUCAGUUUCUAGGCUCAUGUUACAUCAUAGGAAGCUGUGGAGCACCCUUCGGGGGGGCGGACGUGGUCAGAGCAGUGACCCGGUGCUCGAGUCGCUGCCACACUGCAUGGAGAGGACAUCAUGGCCGGGAGGGGAGACGCACGUUUGCGAGAGCACUGGAGGGAUGUGCGAGACUGGAGCAUCGAGAAGAGACAACCCCACAGCGUAAGAGCGUCUCUGACGUCUGAAACGCUUCUGUCCUGAACUGGUCUUGUUUUCCAGCAACAACCUUUCUUACAGCUCUUGCACAUUGGACUGAACUAAGAGCUGCCUGUUGUCUCCCAUCAUGUGCAGUCAAUACUAAGUCAUUCAGAAGGUCUAUUAUGUUUUCUUUGUGCGAUUCCUCUGGGUGUUGUCCAGUAGCUCAAUCAAUGUCAGUGCUGCUUCACUUAUCUCUAAACUGUGCUGCAUCUCUUGUCUCAUCACUAUUACUGUAUAUGCGUUUGUAUUUUGUUUUACAAAAAGGAAAAGCAAGUUGAGUUAAAAUAACAAAAUAAAUACAAUAAAGUGUCAUCAAUAAAGUUUCAUUAGCACGUAAUGCUUUGAGCUUGUUAUUAUACAUUUGCUGAUAAAUUGUAUGGCCCUCUAUAUGUAAUGUGUUGGGCAUCAUGUAAUUAUGACACAGUACAGAACUUUGACACUAGUGUUUUUACCUGCAGUCCAGGUGAUCUGCAUCUCCUUUAUGUUCUUUGAUAACGUUAGGUUUAGUCAUUAAACUGACAUCCAAAUCUGUACUAACUACUGUAUUAAUUAGCUUCUUAAUUAAGUCAUUAACACAGGCGCGUUAUAUAACAGUCAUUAUGAAACACCAUCUAACCAUCCUGUGCGCCAAGUAAAUACAAGGACAAAUCUGCCUGUCGGCACAAACUCCUCUCCAGCUGUGUGUGAACUUUUCAUUUAUCUGGGAAGUAAAUAUCACAAAUAUAUGUAAUAACUAUCCACGAGGGAGCCUGACGGACAGACAUGAUGUCAUUCACAAGAUGAUGUGGCUACCACAUGUCUUUUUAAUAAACACAAAGCCAUUAAUGCCA